rnacentral:lncRNA from 1 species
GGGCCUAGAAUCAUCUAUCAUACGAUCAUCAUUUACACCCAAAUUCAAAUUAAAAUCAAAAGGAGACGAAACACUAAAUUGUAUUGAAAUCCAAUCUCGGUCGGGCCUAGAAUCAUCAAUCACACAAUCAUCAUUUACACCCAAAUUCAAAUUCAAAAUCAAAAGUAGACGAGACACUAAAUUGUAUUCAAAUCCAAGGUCGGUCG